AACGAGAAAGCCCUUCGGGGUGAGUACAGUGGCGAACGGGUGAGUAACACGUGGGCAACCUGCCCCAGAGAGCGGGACAACCCGAGGAAACUCGGGCUAAUACCGCAUGAUGCGUCUCCACUUAAGUGGAGCCGCCAAAUGGUAGCUUCGGCCUCCGCUCUGGGAUGGGCCCGCGUCGGAUUAGCUUGUUGGUUGGGGUAACGGCCCACCAAGGCGACGAUCCGUAGCUGGUCUGAGAGGACGAUCAGCCACACUGGGACUGAGACACGGCCCAGACUCC
rnacentral:rRNA from 1 species